CCAGGGUUGAAAAAAAACGGUUGAAAUGAUUGUGCCGGAAACGUGGGAAGCUUUUUACGGUUCUGCCUGGCUCCCACUGAUGCGAUUUGGGGCCAGGCCAAGACAGAAUUAAAAAGAAAACCAUCCCGAAUUUGAAUUUUGAUAACCUACACUGGACUGAAUAUGGUCACAGCCCAGAAAGAAGAAAGUGCUUUAUUGGUGCCUCAUGCAAUGAUAUCAAUAGUCAUGAUAAAAUUAGGAAGCAUUAUAUAUGGUCUUUUGUUGCAAGUCUGUUCCUUGAAGGUCAGAGAAGGCAUUUGCACUAUGAAUAAUCUUUUUGUGUUGUCGUUUUUAGGGGACUGUUUAUGUUUUCGUGUGGUUUAGUCCCUUUCUGUAAAUAUAUUGAUGAAAAUACAAAGUUGAAAGGCAACCAAUAUCAGCUUUUAGUAAGUCUUUUCCAGGAUGUUUUCAGUGUUUACCUGCACGGCCAGCCUUGUGUCCUGAGCAGGCUGCUAUGCCUGUGGUGGGCUGGUGGGAUUGGACGCUUUUUGGAUAGUGGUGGGGUUCAGAUUCUCCUUAUGUGUGGGUGGAACUGGGGGCUCUGCUCGGGCCCUGGGUUCAGGGCAAUUGAGUGAAUCAGGUGACUGAUACAAAAAACCCUCACUCAGCUCACAUCAGAGCUGUGUGGGCCCUCUGCUUGUUAACUAGAGUCUGGACAGAGUUGGGAAACUUUCUUUUUUCUUUUCUCUCUCUCUUUUUUUUUUUUUUUUUUUUGAGACAGAGUCUCGCUCUGUCGCCCAGGCUAG